rnacentral:rRNA from 1 species
UGCCCAGACCCCUACGGGAGGCAGCAGUGGGGAAUAUUGCACAAUGGGCGAAAGCCUGAUGCAGCGACGCCGCGUGAGUGAAGAAGUAUUUCGGUAUGUAAAGCUCUAUCAGCAGGGAAGAAAAUGACGGUACCUGACUAAGAAGCCCCGGCUAACUACGUGCCAGCAGCCGCGGUAAUACGUAGGGGGCAAGCGUUAUCCGGAUUUACUGGGUGUAAAGGGUGCGUAGGCUGUGAGGUAAGUCAGCGGUGAAAUGCCCCCGCUCAACGGGGUGAAGUGCCAUUGAUACUGCCGUGCUGGAAUGCGGAUGCCGUGGGAGGAAUGUGUGGUGUAGCGGUGAAAUGCAUAGAUAUCACACAGAACACCGAUUGCGAAGGCAUCUCACGAAUCCGCGAUUGACGCUGAUGCACGAAAGCGUGGGUAUCAAACAGGAUUAGAUACCCGGGUA